UCUAAAUCAUUUAGAAUCAUCGUCCUCCCGAUUUCUUCUCUCAAUGAUUCAAGAGGUUCUACAAUCAAUAGUAUUGUAGGAUUGAUAAAACGAAAAUCAUCAAUGUCCUGUGUCUACAUCUGCGAGGCGAUGAUGGCUAGGGUUCCCGUGGUGAUUUCGGUUGUUUAAAAACCCUAUUAUCUUUUUAUUUGAUAUUCAAACGUUUUUGGCGUUUCCGGUGAGUGAAGCGACGAUCUAUGUUCUGAUCUAUGUUUGAAACGGAAGUGAAGUUUGUCAGAUAAUGGCGUUUCCGGAGAGUGUAGCGGCGAUUCUAGCGGCGGUCGUUGUUACUGCUCCAAAAGAAGGUAAGAAAAUAAAACAAACCCUAUUAUCUUUUUAAUGUUUCACUAGAUCUGAUUGUUAUCAUUGGUUGAGAACACGGGCAAAUGGAAAGAAGAUGACGUACUCAAUAUACAUUUUGAAUUAUAUUAAACCUAUGACUGUAUAUUUUGAAGUCAUAUUGAAUUUCACUUGAAACUAGCUUUGUAUGUGUUUUUAAUGGUACUAUCAUUUUUAUUCCAGGGAAUUUUGUCUAUGAAGCUAAACUUGAGAUAUCUAGAAGCCAUGCUAGGUCAUUUAUAGUUUAUUUAGAUUUUACACACAUAUAUUUAAAUAUAUGCUUUUAUGCAAAAUUAUAUGGCUUUUCAACAAGGGGAUUAUAUGGUGUGGAAGCCAGAUUGAAGGAAUGUAUGCAGCUUGUCACACCCCGACCGCGUAAAACAACAAACCGCGGCGGAAACGCCGGGGAGACUAACAUAAUAACUGUCUUUUAAGUCACUAAGGCCCGAGUCCGCCUAAGUGAAGCACAAGCAUCAUCAUGCAUUAGCACCUGAAACACAUGUAAAAAUAGGUACGUCAGCAUAAAAAUGCCUGUGAGAUACAUAGGUUUUGUUUAUGCAGAUUCAUGACUGGUAUUUGAAAGAAGUGUUUAAUAAAAUGUAGUCAUGAACCUUGUAAAAUGUUUUCCUUUGUAAAACCAUGUGAAAAUCGAUAUGAAAAUCAAAUGAUAACGAAAGGACAAUGCAUGGUUAAAUGAAUAACCAAGUGAAAAUGAAUUUGGAUAAAAUGUGUACUUUGUAAAACAAUGUCUUGUUCUUGUAUAAAAUGUUUCAUGUCUUGCCCAAGUGGUUCAUAUAACGCAACAAUGUAUAAUAUAAUAAAAGCACUUAUAUAUAUAGGAAGUACCAGCGGCGUAUCCACCAGGCUUUUAUCAUAUAACACAUAGCCCCGUUACAUAAGUCACUUUAUCAAUAACCAACCAAAAUGUCUUGUUUAAUGUCAAAAAUGUGUAUGUGUAAACCAUGUAUAAUGUCAUGUGUGAAAUGUUUCAUGUAUAACCAAACGAAAUGCAUAGCAAGUAGGAAAUCAUCUACUUAAACUAUGUGAUGAUGUUAAUGUAUAAACUGUGUCAUGUAUGGUGAAUAACUAGAAGCUACUCAACCCCAUAGAAAAUGUACAAAACAAUGUUUUUGAAUAAACCUAAGUUUAAAUCAAAUGUUAUGUUUUGCAGAAAAACAAUGCUUUAUGAUUACAAACAUUUAUGUAGUAAUGUUAAUCGCAUACAUUCAAGCCUUGCGACUGUGGCGACAAACCGUUAAACGAAUUAAAGGUUCAUCUAAAGUUAUGUAGUCGGAUUCUGUCAUUCCCAACUUCCAAACAAACCUAGGAAGUCAGAAACGGGAGUUGUCAAUUCCUAUGGUACACAUACAUAAAUCCGAGCGGCGUGAUCAAUGUUAAUGAAUGUAUUAUUGUCCCGAUUUAACAUACCAAAUGUCAUAACCAAUGUAGCAUGUGAAAACCAUGUACUAGGAAUGCUAAGUAAACAUGCCUAGUAGAAAUGUUCAUGUAAAACAAUGUGCUAGCAUGCUCAGUAAACAUACAUAGCAGAAAUGUCAUGUAAAACAAUGUGUUCCAUAUGCUAAGUAAACAUAUGCAACAAAAAAUCAAUGUGCUAGCAUGCUUAACAUACAUAGCAAAACAUAAUUGAAAGCAUGUACUAUAAGUGUACUAGGUGAAACUAGCAUGUUUAUGUCAUAAAAGCAUGAAAUGCACAAAAGUAACACGUAUGUACAUGUGUAUCACCCCAAAGUAUUUGAAAACGGUAAAAGAGGGGAACUAUGUACUCACUUGGGAUUGCUAAUUAGUCUUGAGAAUAAGACCAAUUUAAGCUCCAAGUAUCACGGAAUCAACCGGCACCUAGUAUAGGUAACUAUGUUAAUAAAUCGGCUCCUAAAUCGGGAGAUAGGAUAGAACGAGGUUCUAUAAAUCAAAUGAGUAAUUAAACUCAUAUGGUAUGAUUUAAUAGACCCUUCAUUCUGAUUGGAAGGCCUACCUAAGUGCUUUUGACCCGUUUCGACACAUUAUGGUAACAUAAGCUACUAUAAGGCGUCGUUAUCGUAAAACUAUGUUCGGAUGGUUAUCUAUGUGCCAUGUCAAGUCUUACAUGCCCAAUUAUCCCUAAACAUGUUACUAAAUCAGAUUAUAUGUCAAAAAGAUGUUCACGUAGUCAAAAUACGGAUUUAUGCUUCAAAAGGGCAUUUUGGUCAUUUCCUAUGGGCAUACAAGCUAACAAGCAUAUGACUAACCAAUCCUAUGUGAUCAUAAGGUUAUAACCUCAGUGGUUAUUUCCUAUGAAACUAUGAUCACUAACUAAGCUUGGUCGGAUCCUAAAGAUCGACCAAACGGGUCGGGUUCGGAAGUAUAAGCGGUUGUUUAGACCGCUUACCUUACGACCCUAAACAAGCACAAACUAAUAGUGUCGAGUUAGACAUGUCAAAACAUGUCUAACCUACUGAUUUGGUAUCAAAACAAAGUGUUUUGAUACCCUAAAGUAGUUCCGAGGAAAAAUGCGUGCUAAAACGCAUUUUAACCGAAACUUUGACUCGACACUACAACUAGCUAACGUGGUAAUCAGCAGCUAUAAUCACGAAGGAUUAUAACUAUCGUGAUUACAAUCACGUUUCAAAGUUCAAUUGAACUUUGACUUGACCAAUUGAUGGUCAAAACCGAAAGUCAAACUGUUGGCCAAACGUUUGACUUUCUGCACUAC
rnacentral:lncRNA from 1 species